GUGUUGCAAAAGUCUAAUGAUGAGCACUUGCAGAUGAAAGGAGGCUGUUCUAACAUCUAAUGAUGUCUAACCUUAUUUUUGAAUUCUUUGAUAUGCGUUGAACAAUGAGCCUCUGAUGUACCACGCUUUCGAGUUAAAGGUUUGCCCUUGUUGUGAGUACGUAUUCUGCAAGCUGAAGAUUU